GCGCCCGUAGCUGAAUUGGCAAACAGGGGGACGGUACCCCACGGUCCCGGGAUCAAGUCCCGGCGGUCGCA